UGAACAGCUUGGUGAACUUUUAAUUGUGAAGAUAGAGCAAAUUCUUUGAAACAUAUUUGACAUUUAAAUGGCUUUCCACUAGUAUGAAUAGCUUGGUGAUAUUUUAAGCGUGAAGAGUGAGAAAAUCCUUUUUGACAUAUCUGACAUUUAAAAGGUUUAUCACUAGUGUGAACAAAUUGAUGAGAUCGUAAAUGUGAAGCUUGAGUGAAUGCUUUUUGACAUAUUUGACAUUUAUG